UACGAAGGGGGCUAGCGUUGCUCGGAAUCACUGGGCGUAAAGCGCACGUAGGCGGAUUGUUAAGUCAGGGGUGAAAUCCUGGAGCUCAACUCCAGAACUGCCUUUGAUACUGGCGAUCUUGAGUCCGGGAGAGGUGAGUGGAACUGCGAGUGUAGAGGUGAAAUUCGUAGAUAUCAAGAGGAACACCUGAGGUGAAGACGGGUUGCUGGGCUGACACUGACGCUGAGGCGCGAAAGCCAGGGGAGCAAACGGG
rnacentral:rRNA from 1 species